rnacentral:rRNA from 1 species
AACGCGAAGAACCUUACCUGGGCUCGAAAUGUUAUGGACCGGAGUAGAAAUAUUCCUUCCCCGCAAGGGGCCGUAAUAUAGGUGCUGCAUGGCUGUCGUCAGCUCGUGUCGUGAGAUGUUGGGUUAAGUCCCGCAACGAGCGCAACCCUUAUCUUCAGUUGCUACCAUUAAGUUGGGCACUCUGGCGAAACUGCCCCGGAUAACGGGGAGGAAGGUGGGGAUGACGUCAAGUCCUCAUGGCCUUUAUGUCCAGGGCUACACACGUGCUACAAUGGCCGGUACAAACCGUCGCAAACCCGCGAGGGGGAGCUAAUCGGAAAAAGCCGGUCUCAGUCCGGAUUGGAGUCUGCAACUCGACUCCAUGAAGCUGGAAUCGCUAGUAAUCGCGGAUCAGCACGCCGCGGUGAAUACGUUCCCGGGCCUUGUACACACCGAGUAUA